rnacentral:lncRNA from 10 species
AGACAACACCCGCCCGCGGCCGGGCCAGGCGCCGAGCAGGCAGCUGCGGCCCUCGGGAAGCCCGGAGAGGGGACCCACUCCGGCGCCCUGCCCGCGUCCCCCUUUGUGGGUGACAGACUGCACGGGAGGACACCGGGGCAGCUCCCAUGCCCACGAGGGUGCCCUCCCUCGGGAACUAGGGAAGGCAGAAGAGCCCGCUGACCACCAGAAAAAACACGGGGACGGCGGGGACAAGGGCUGACCCGUCUCCACCGAGACUGAACCUCGAGUUCUAAGGCUAAGUACGGGUUUACUUGCUACUUAGGUGGCAGGGAGAGAGGGGAUUUACUUCCUUGGGAGUUUGCUCUCAGAAACGCUGGGGGCAAAGAACACCGCGGUGCCUGGCCCCGGAAGCCCUCGGGGACGGGCGUCUCUGGUGACCGGCCACCCGAGACGGGAAAUGCGCGCUCACCUGGACAGCGCGGCUCAGCGGCACAGAAUGCUGUCGCCCUGCUUGUUCACCGCGCCGGCCUGGAACAGCAACCGAACACCAAGGGAAAGGUUAGCAGGCGCAAACAACGCGCUCGACACGGUCCUGGAUUGUCCUCGGAAAUCAGGCUGGCGCGCCGACGCCCCCACCCCAGCCUGUA